AUUGAACGCUGGCGGCAGGCCUAACACAUGCAAGUCGAGCGGAUGAAGAGAGCUUGCUCUCUGAUUUAGCGGCGGACGGGUGAGUAAUGCCUAGGAAUCUGCCUGGUAGUGGGGGAUAACGUCCGGAAACGGGCGCUAAUACCGCAUACGUCCUACGGGAGAAAGCAGGGGACCUUCGGGCCUUGCGCUAUCAGAUGAGCCUAGGUCGGAUUAGCUAGUUGGUGAGGUAAUGGCUCACCAAGGCUACGAUCCGUAACUGGUCUGAUAGGAUGGUCAGGCACACUGGAACUGGGACACGGCCCAGACUCCUACGGGAGGCAGCAGUGGGGAAUAUUGGACAAUGGGCGAAAGCCUGAUCCAGCCAUGCCGCGUGUGUGAAGAAGGUCUUCGGAUUGUAAAGCACUUUAAGUUGGGAGGAAGGGCAGUAAGUUAAUACCUUGCUGUUUUGACGUUACCGACAGAAUAAGCACCGGCUAACUUCGUGCCAGCAGCCGCGGUAAAAC
rnacentral:rRNA from 1 species